rnacentral:rRNA from 1 species
AAACGUAGGACACAAGCGUUAUCCGGAAUCAUUGGGUUUAAAGGGUCCGUAGGCGGGUUUGUAAGUCAGUGGUGAAAGUUUUCGGCUCAACCGGAAAAUUGCCAUUGAUACUGCAAGUCUUGAAUCAUUAUGAAGUGGUUAGAAUGUGUAGUGUAGCGGUGAAAUGCAUAGAUAUUACACAGAAUACCGAUUGCGAAGGCAGAUCACUAAUAAUGUAUUGACGCUAAGGGACGAAAGCGUGGGUAGCGAACAGGAUUAGAAACCCUAGUAGUCC